AUAAUAAAUAAAUUCAUAAUAAAAGCAUGAAACAAGAUGACACAACAGAGAUAAGACACCCACACAGUAAUACCCUACACUAACGUACCAAAGGCACCCCCCACAUGCACUAGCCUUCUAUCCUAAUUAGCGUUCUCCACACUUUCCUAUCUAGGGUCAUGUCCUCGGUAAGCUGUAAUUGCUUCAUGUCACGUCUAAUCACCUCUCUCCCAUACUUCUUUGGCCUACCCCUACCCCGCCUGAAACCAUCCAAAGCUAGCCUCUCACACCUACGAACUGGGGCAUCCGUGCCCCUCCUUAUCACAUGCCCAAACGAUCUCAGCCGAACUUCCCGCAUCUUGUCUUCCACCGAAGUCACUCCAACCUUAUGACAGUCUUAUUCCUAACCCUAUCACCCCU
rnacentral:lncRNA from 1 species